GCAACAGCUCAAAUUUGAAAUAUGGCCCUCGGGUCCGAGUUGUAAUUUGGAGAGGAUGCUUUUGGCGCGGCGCCGUCCGAGUUCCUUGGAACAGGACGCCAUAGAGGGUGAGAGCCCCGUACGGGCGGCCGCCUAGCCUUUGUAAAGCUCCUUCGACGAGUCGAGUAGUUUGGGAAUGCUGCUCAAAAUGGGAGGUAAAUUUCUUCUAAAGCUAAAUACCGGCCAGAGACCGAUAGCGCACAA
rnacentral:rRNA from 1 species